rnacentral:rRNA from 1 species
GACGAACGCUGGCGGCGUGCCUAAUACAUGCAAGUGGGACGCAAGGAAACACACUGUGCUUGCACACCGUGUUUUCUUGAGUCGCGAACGGGUGAGUAACGCGUAGGUAACCAGCCUAUUAGCGGGGGAUAACUAUUGGAAACGAUAGCUAAUACCGCAUAAUAUUAAUUAUUGCAUGAUAAUUGAUUGAAAGAUGCAAGCGCAUCACUAGUAGAUGGACCUGCGUUGUAUUAGCUAGUUGGUAAGGUAAGAGCUUACCAAGGCGACGAUACAUAGCCGACCUGAGAGGGUGAUCGGCCACACUGGGACUGAGACACGGCCCAGACUCCUACGGGAGGCAGCAGUAGGGAAUCUUCGGCAAUGGACGAAAGUCUGACCGAGCAACGCCGCGUGAGUGAAGAAGGUUUUCGGAUCGUAAAGCUCUGUUGUAAGUCAAGAACGUGUGUGAGAGUGGAAAGUUCACACAGUGACGGUAGCUUACCAGAAAGGGACGGCUAACUACGUG